GGUGGGGGAGGGACCAGGACGUGGAGUGGCCGAGGCUGUGAGAGGAGGAAGAUAGGCGUAUACCGGAUUCAGUGACUUAUGAUGAUGUGCAUGUGAACUUCACUAAAGAAGAGUGGGAUUUGCUGGAUCCUUCCCAGAUGAAUCUCUACAAAGACGUGAUGCUGGAGACCUACUGGAACCUCAUUGCUAUAGGCUACAAUUGGGAAGAUCAUCAUAUUGAAGAACAAUGUCAAAGUUCUAAAAGUCAUGAAAGGAAUGUAAGAAGUCAUAGUGGAGAGAAACCCUAUGAAUGUAAUAAGUGUGGUAAAGCCUUUGCAAGACCCAUUUAUCUCCAAAAUCAUAAAAGAACACAUACUGGAGAGAAAGCUUAUGAAUGUAAUCAAUGUGAUGAAGCCUUUGCAAGACCCAGUCAACUCCAAAGACAUAAAAGAAUGCAUACUGCGGAGAAACCCUAUGACUGUAAUCAGUGUGGUAAAGCCUUUGCAAGACCCAGUCAUCUCCAAUAUCAUAAAAGCACACAUACUGGAGAUAAACCUUAUGAAUGUAAUCAAUGUGGUAAAGCCUUCGUAUGGCACAGUCAUCUCCAAAUACAUAAAAGAACACAUAGUGGAGAAAAACCUUAUGAAUGUAUUCUAUGUGGUAAAGCCUUUGCAAUACCCAGUCAUCUCCAAAGACAUAAAAGCAUACAUACUGGAGAGAAACCUUAUGAAUGUAAUCAAUGUGGUAAAGCCUUUUCACAGGGGAGUCAUCUCCAAUAUCAUAAAAGAACACAUACCGGAGAGAAAGCUUAUGAAUGUAAUCAAUGUGGUAAAGCCUUUUCACAGGGGAGUCAUCUCCAAUAUCAGAACACAUACGGGAGAGAAAGCUUAUGAAUGUAAUCAAUGUGAUGAAGCCUUUGCAAGACCCAGUCAACUCCAAAGACAUAAAAGAAUGCAUACUGCGGAGAAACCCUAUGAAUGUAAUCAGUGUGGUAAAGCCUAUGCAGAAGAGAGAACACUCCAAUAUCAUAAAAGAAUACAUACUGGAGAGAAACCUUAUAAUCAAUGAGGUGAAGCCUUUGCAACACCCAGUCAUCUCCAGUGUUAUACAAUAACACAUAUUGGAGAGAAACCUUAUGAAUAUAAUCAAUGUGAUGAAGCCUUUGCAAGACCCAGUCAUCUCCAAAGACAUAAAAGAACACAUACUGGAGAGAAGCCUUAUGAAUGUAUUCAAUUUGAUAAAGUCUUUUCAUGGCACAGUACUCUCCAGUAUCAUAAAAGAGCACAUACUGGGGAGAAACCUUAGGGAUGGCAUUAAUGUGGUAAAGCCUGUUCACAAGGGAGAAGUCUCCAAAAAUAUAAAAGAACACAUACUGGAGAGAAACCCUAUGAAUGUAAUCUAUGUGAUAAAAGCCUUUGCACUAAGUUCUUGUCUCAAAAAUCAUAAAAUAACC
rnacentral:lncRNA from 1 species